AAUACAAGUAGUUGUCAAUCAUCUUACUCCAUAAAUAGGGGCCCAGAGCCCAUUGAGUUCUCUUGUACUACAGUGGGCUGCAUGCCAAGAUCUUCUCCUUGAGCAGGGAUGCAUCUCAAGGUUUCUCCUUGUUAUCAAGAGAUUCCUCUACCUGUGACAGAUACGCAAUAUUCAAAAUGCUACUGGAUGUGACCGUGAGUAACCUGAUUUAACUUCGGCAUUAGCCUUGGUUUGAGUGAGAGAAUGGAGCGGUGCCGAUGACCCCCAGAAGUCCAUUCCCACUUGAAUUAUGCUAUCAUUCUGUAUGGACACCUCUAUCUCUUGGAGGAAUCUUUAGAAAAAAAUGAUCCAGGCAGAGGAACAAAUACAAACCCUUGCAGCCUCAGAUGGGGGGUAACUUCUCCUCUUCAUUAAGGUAGUCUUAACUUCUGUCUUCAGUGGAAAAUUUAGGGCAAGAUAUACAUACCUUCUGUUUAAGUUUAUACCAAAAUGUAGGCUUUGAGUGUUUAUAGGUUUUAUUGUUUAACAAAAAUGUCUUUGUUCUUUGAGGAGCUCCACUCAGCAUCAUAAUAAUAAUAAUAAUCGUGUUUAAUUGUUUGUUUGCACCUGUCCAGAUCCUUGACUGAAGAGCAUCACCAUCACAAAUUUCUACAAAUGGCAGAGUUUUCACUACAAAAAGGGGGGCUGUUCUAAGAAUUUAUUCUUUAGUGUGAGUUACUUAACUAUUGGGAAUUGUAGAUUGUAGAUAAGUAUAUAUUGGCAUAUCAAAACAUUUUACAAACUCUAUAAAAUUGGGAGCUAACACUUUAUUGAUCCUUAUUUUAGGCUGACAGAAAAGUUGAGUGAUUCACCCAGGUUCCAAAGGCAAAGAAGGAGACUUCCUCUCCUGUAUGGUCAUU